rnacentral:rRNA from 1 species
UACGUAGGGUGCAAGCGUUGUCCGGAAUUAUUGGGCGUAAAGAGCUCGUAGGCGGUCUGUCGCGUCUGCUGUGAAAUCCCGGGGCUCAACCCGGGAACUGCGUCCGAAACUGGCAGGCUUGAAUCCGGGAGAGGGAUGUGGAAUUCCAGGUGUAGCGGUGAAAUGCGUAGAUAUCUGGAGGAACACCGGUGGCGAAGGCGGCAUCCUGGACCGGUAUUGACGCUGAGGCGCGAAAGCUAGGGGAGCAAACGGG